UACAGGGGGGGCAAGCGUUGUUCGGAAUUACUGGGCGUAAAGGGCCAGUAGGCGGCCAACUAAGUCCGACGUGAAAUUCCCAGGCUUAACCUGGGAACUGCGUCGGAUACUGGAUGGCUUGAAUUCGGGAGAGGGAUGCAGAAUUCCAGGUGUAGCGGUGAAAUGCGUAGAUAUCUGGAGGAAUACCGGUGGCGAAGGCGGCAUCCUGGACCGACAUUGACGCUGAGGAGCGAAAGCGUGGGGAGCGAACAGG
rnacentral:rRNA from 1 species